AUACUUCGGUAACUUAUUAAACAACUUGGUUGUUAAAUUAGUUAUAUUCUCAUCUUUUUAGAUAGAAAAAAGAUUAAUCGCCGACUUGAGUUUUUUACGGAGAUCAGGUAAUUAACAUUUUUUGUUAAGCCGACGACCUCUAGCUGGUCCGAGAGGCGGAUUAGCCACAUUAGGACUGAAAACGGUCUAAACUUCGUUUGAAGGCAGCAGUGAGGAAUAUUGGACAAUGGGCGAAAGCUUGAUCCAGCAAUGUCGCGUGGGUGAUGACGGCCUUAGGUUGUAAAGCCCUUUCGUUAGUUAUAAAUUUUUGAUAUAGCUGAAAAAGAAGUCCCGGCUAACUUCGUGCCAGCAGCUGCGGUAAAACGGGGGGGGGCAAGCGUUAUUCGUCUUUUACUGGGCGUAAAGGGUUAGUAGGCAGUUUGUUACAAUUGGCAGGAC
rnacentral:rRNA from 1 species